rnacentral:rRNA from 1 species
AACGAACGCUGGCGGCAGGCCUAACACAUGCAAGUCGAACGAGAAGCCACCUUCGGGUGGUGGACAGUGGCAGACGGGUGAGUAACGCGUGGGAACGUGCCUUUCGGUUCGGGAUAACCCAGGGAAACUUGGGCUAAUACCGGAUACGCCCUCCGGGGGAAAGAUUCAUCGCCGAAAGAUCGGCCCGCGUCGGAUUAGCUAGUUGGUAGGGUAAUGGCCUACCAAGGCGACGAUCCGUAGCUGGUCUGAGAGGAUGACCAGCCACACUGGGACUGAGACACGGCCCAGACUCCUGCGGGAGGCAGCAGUGGGGAAUAUUGGACAAUGGGCGAAAGCCUGUUCCAGCCAUGCCGCGUGGGUGAAGAAGGCCUUAGGGUUGUAAACCCCUUUCAGCGGGGAAGAUAAUGACGGUACCCGCAGAAGAAGUCCCGGCUAACUCCGUGCCAGCCGCCGCAGUAAGAC